rnacentral:rRNA from 1 species
CAGCAAUGCCGCGUGUGUGAAGAAGGCCUUCGGGUUGUAAAGGCACUUUUGUCCGGAAAGAAAUCCUUGGCUCUAAUACAGUUCGGGGGGAUUGAACGGUACCUGGAAGAAAUAAGCACCGGCUAACUACGUGCCAGCAGCCGCGGUAAUACGUAGGGGUGCGAGCGUUAAUCGGGAAUUACUGGGCGUAAAGCGUGCGCAGGGCGGGUUGCUAAAGACCCGAUGUGAAAUCCCCGGGCUCAACCUGGGAAACUGCAUUGGUGACUGGCAGGCUAGAGUAUGGCAGAGGGGGGGUAGAAUUUCCACGUGUAGCAGUGAAAUGCGUAGAGAUGUGGAGGAAUACCGAUGGCGAAGGCAGCCCCCCUGGGCCAAUACUGACGCUCAUGCACGAAAGCGUGGGGAGCAAACAGGAUUAGAUACCCUGGUAGUCCACGCCCUAAACGAUGUCAACUAGUUGUUGGGGAUUCAUUUUCCUUAGUAACGUAGCUAACGCGUGAAGUUGACCGCCUGGGGAGUACGGUCGCAAGAUUAAAACUCAAAGGAAUUUGACGGGGACCCGCACAAGCGGUGGAUGAUGUGGAUUAAUUUCGAUGCAACGCGAAAAACCUUACCCUACUCCUUUGACGAUGGUCGGAAUCCCCGCUUGAGGAGGUGGGAGUGCUUCGAAAGAGAACCGGCGCCACAGGUGCUGCAUGGACUGGUCGGUCAGCUCGUGUCGUGAGAUGUUGGGUUAAGUCCCGCAACGGAGGCG